rnacentral:lncRNA from 1 species
UUUUCAGAAGAUAGUUGGGGGAGGGUUCCAUGUUAUUACCACCUCCCCUGAGAGCUAAUUCCUAGCAAAGCCAAGGUCCAUCUUUCACUGUGCAAUUCUAGCCUAAUAGGAAAGUUAUAUCACUGUUGACAGCCUUGUCCUUUCUUCAUAAAUCCUGGGAGUUAUCCCAUAAGGAAUAUUCAUUUUCCUUCAGACAUGAAGUGACCAUUAAGAUGCACCAGUAAAGAAUCCGUGGCUUUUAGUGUCUCACUGUAUGUCUUCUAGUUUAAGGAUUUUAAGAAAAAAAAAAUGUUGCAGUGAAAAUGUAUACUUUUAUUAG